rnacentral:rRNA from 1 species
UACGAAGGGGGCUAGCGUUGCUCGGAAUCACUGGGCGUAAAGCGCACGUAGGCGGCUUCUUAAGUCAGGGGUGAAAUCCUGGAGCUCAACUCCAGAACUGCCCUUGAUACUGAGGAGCUCGAGUCCGGAAGAGGUGAGUGGAACUGCGAGUGUAGAGGUGAAAUUCGUAGAUAUCGCAAGAACACCAGUGGCGAAGGCGGCUCACUGGUCCGGUACUGACGCUGAGGUGCGAAAGCGUGGGGAGCAAACAGGAUUAGAAACCCG